UGGGGGAAUCUUCCGCAAUGGACGAAAGUCUGACGGAGCAACGCCGCGUGAGUGAUGAAGGCCUUCGGGUUGUAAAACUCUGUUGUCAGGGACGAAAGCACCGAUCUAUAAUACAUUUUGGUGUUGACGGUACCUGACGAGGAAGCCACGGCUAACUACGUGCCAGCAGCCGCGGUAAUACGUAUGGAGCAAGCGUUAUCCGGAUUUACUGGGUGUAAAGGGAGCGCAGGCGGUCCUGCAAGUCUGAUGUGAAAGCCCGGGGCUCAACCCCGGGACUGCAUUGGAAACUGUGGGACUUGAGUGUCGGAGGGGCAAGUGGAAUUCCUAGUGUAGCGGUGAAAUGCGUAGAUAUUAGGAGGAACACCAGUGGCGAAGGCGGCUUGCUGGACGACAACUGACGCUGAGGCUCGAAAGCGUGGGGAGCAAACAGGAUUAGAUACCCUGGUAGU
rnacentral:rRNA from 1 species